rnacentral:rRNA from 1 species
UGGGGAAUAUUGGACAAUGGGGGAAACCCUGAUCCAGCCAUGCCGCGUGAAUGAUGAAGGCCUUCGGGUUGUAAAGUUCUUUUAGUAGGGACGAUGAUGACGGUACCUACAGAAUAAGCUCCGGCUAACUUCGUGCCAGCAGCCGCGGUAAUACGAAGGGAGCUAGCGUUGUUCGGAAUUACUGGGCGUAAAGGGCGCGUAGGCGGUUUUGUAAGUCAGAUGUGAAAGCCCCGGGCUUAACCCGGGAACUGCGUUUGAUACUGUUGAUCUAGAAUGCGGCGGGGGAAGACGGAAUUCCGGGUGUAGCGGUGGAAUGCGCAGAUAUCCGGAGGAACACCGAAGGCGAAGGCAGUCUUCCAUACCGUAAUUGACGCUGAACUGCGAAGGUGUGGGGAUCAAACA